AUUGAACGCUGGCGGCAGGCCUAACACAUGCAAGUCGAGCGAGCGGCGGACGGGUGAGUAAUGUAUGGGGACUGCCCGAUAGAGGGGGAUCACUACUGGAAACGGUGGCUAAUACCGCAUACUAUCGGAUAACCCAUAUGGGAUUAGCUAGUAGGUGGGGUAAAGGCUCUCCUAGGCGACGAUCUCUAGCUGGUCUGAGAGGAUGAUCAGCAAACCUGGGACUGAUACACGGCCCAGACUCCGACGGAGGAAGCGGUGGGGAAUAUGGCAAAAUGGGCGAAAGCCUGAUGCAGCCAUGCCGCGUGUAUGAAGAGGGCAUUAGGGUUGUAAGGUACUUUCAGCGGGGAGGCGUUACCCGCAGAAGAAGCACCGGCUAACUCCGUGCCAGCAGCCGCGGUAAUUC
rnacentral:rRNA from 1 species